rnacentral:lncRNA from 1 species
AGAGAGCAUGGAGAAAAUAACCUACGGAGCAGUCGUUAUGAUCUCUGGUUGCAAUGUAAUAGAGAUGAACAGCCUUGAGACUCGCCAGGGGGAGGAGCAGUGGGCGGCAUCGGGCACAGUAUCCUCUGAUGUAUCAUCUCGAGGGAGAAAAUAAGUGGAGAAAAAAGCACCAAUGUAUUUUCUGAACAAGAAAAAAGGAUCGGGAUUCG